CCGGGGUGCCCGCCUUUCUGAAGAGCUGCCGAGGUGGCGUUUCCCCGGCCCCUUGUCGGAUUCCUGCGGAUGGCUGCUUAUUGUUCGUCGUUCACCAACCCGGAGUGGCUCAGCCCAUGGCCAGUCAGAGCCGACCUUCCUGAGGUCCCUGCCUUGUUGGGAGUACCGGACACCAGCCUCUCUGGCAGGGAAGCUGCUGGUUUUGCAUCACCCCCACCUGGAACCCAGCCGGUGGAGGGAGGGAAGGGCCACACCCGGGGAGCAUGCGCCUCCCUGUUCUGACCCAAGGCUUAGCCACUUCUCGUCAGUUGCCGUGUGCCAUUAGUCUGUCUGUAGCGGCCUGAUACAUUGCUUUUGACAAUUUUGUCUUCCUUGAUUGUUCUUUUUUUGGAAGAGGAUUGCUCAAACUCCGAACUCCAUGAAUCUGGAAGUGUCCUUUCUGGUGUUUGAAUUUUUUUUUUUAGUUGUGGUAAAAUAUACAUCAUUAAAAAACUGCCAUUUUAAAGUAUACCAUUCAGUGGCAUUAUCACAUUCACAAUUCUGUGUAGCUAUGGUCACUUUUUCCAGAACGUUCAAUCAUCUCAAACAGAAACUGCAUCUAAGAAACAGUACGUCCUCGCGCCUCUGGUAGCCUCUGUUCUGUUUUCCGUCUCUAUGAAAUGGCUAUUCUGCGGAUCUCAUACAUUUUAAGUGGAGUCAUACAGAAUUUGUCCUUUUGUUUCUGGCUAAUUCACUCAGCAUAAUGCCCUAAUGUUUAUCCAUGUGGUAUCAGGUGUCAGAAUCCCCUUCCUUUUUAUGGGUGAAAAAUAUCCCAUUGUUGGAUGGCCCACAUUCUGUGCAUCUGUUCCACUAAUGGACACUAGGGUUUUUCCACCUUUGGCUGCUGUGAAUCCUGCUUGUGUGAACAUGAGUAUGCAGCAAACGUUUGAGGGCUUGUUUAUCUUAUGUUGGGUGUAAACGCGAAAAAUGGAAUUGCAGGGUCUCACAGUAAUUCUGUUUAACCUUUUGAGAAGCUGCCCUUGUGUUCCCUGUGGCGGCUGCACCAUUCAAACCCCCCCAGCAAAGCGCAGGACUCCAGUCGCUACAUCCUGUGUUCUGUUCAAUCUGUCUCAUAACCUAGCUACCCUGAUGAGCAGGAAGUGGCAGCAUCUGGUUACAUUUGCUUUCCUCUGAUGACCAGUGUUAUUGAGCAUCUUUUCACAUGUCUGUGGCCCUUUGUGUAUCUAUAGGAAAAACGUCCAUCAGAUCCUUUUCCCUUUUCGAACUGGUUUGCUUUUUGUUGCUGGGUUGCACUCUUCAUGUAUUUUGAAUAUUAGCCCCUAUGAGAUACAUGAUUUGCACAUAGUCUACCCCAUCUCGUGGGUGGCCUUUUUACUCUUGACAGUGUCCUUUGAUGUGCAAAAGUUUUUAAUUUUGAUGAUGUCCAAUUUAUCCAUUUUUGGUUUGUUACUUGUGUUUUGGUGUCGUCUCCAAGAAGUCAUUACCAAAACCAAUGCCAUGAAGGUGUUUCCAUUUUCCUCUCAGAUUUCUAUAGCUUUACCACUUAAGUUUAGGUCUUUGAUGCAUUUUGAGUUCAUUUUUGUAUAUGAUGUGAGGUAAAGUCCCAGGUUCAUUCUUUUGUUGUUUAAUUUCAAGACAUGUAGUUUAUCAUUUGAUCCUUUAAUGAAAGGAGGCAAAGCCCCUUAGGAGGAUGGAAGAUGCUCUAGACCCAAGGCUGACGUAGGGAGGGAUUCAUCCCUGAACAGGUGUUAGGACAUGCGUCUGGGAUUCCCUGGUGUCCUGCUCGUUCCCUCCUAAAGUGCACAUCUGAUACUGUCACCACAGUGUUCGUGAAGAAUUGCAGGUGUUUGGAGAGGCGUGGUGGCUGCCAGUCCCCGCAGGGAGAAGGCAGUGGUGCUCUCACGUGGCGGGUCCUGACCACCUGCAACCACAGGAAGAGAGGGUGUCGGGUUUGGCCGAGGAAUGUAGUCUGUGGUUUUCUU